AUUGAACGCUGACGGCAGGCCUAACACAUGCAAGUCGAGCGAGCGGCGGACGGGUGAGUAAUGGAUGGGGAUCUGCCCGAUCGAGGGGGAUAACUACUGGAAACGGUAGCUAAUACCGCAUACCAUCGGAUGUGCCCAGAUGGGAUUAGCUAGUAGGUGGGGUAAAGGCUCACCUAGGCGACGAUCCCUAGCUGGUCUGAGAGGAUGACCAGCCACACUGGAACUGAGACACGGUCCAGACUCCUACGUGAGGCAGCAGUGGGGAAUUUUGGACAAUGGGGGAAACCCUGAUCCAGCCAUCCCGCGUGUAUGAUGAAGGCCUUCGGGUUGUAAAGUACUUUUGGCAGAGAAGCGGUAUCUGCAGAAUAAGCACCGGCUAACUACGUGCCAGCAGCCGCGGUAAUAC
rnacentral:rRNA from 1 species